rnacentral:rRNA from 1 species
UACGUAGGGGGCAAGCGUUGUCCGGAAUCAUUGGGCGUAAAGAGCGCGUAGGCGGCCCAGUAAGUCCGCUCUGAAAGUCAGAGGCUCAACCUCUGAAUGCGGGUGGAUACUGCUGGGCUAGAGUCCGGAAGAGGCGAGUGGAAUUCCUGGUGUAGCGGUGAAAUGCGCAGAUAUCAGGAGGAACACCGGUGGCGAAGGCGGGUCUCUGGGCCGAUAUUGACGCUGAGGAGCGAAAGCGUGGGGAGCGAACAGG